rnacentral:rRNA from 1 species
GACGAACGCUGGCGGCGUGCUUAACACAUGCAAGUCGAACGAUGAAGCCGGAGCUUGCUCUGGUGAAUUAGUGGCGAACGGGUGAGUAACACGUGAGUAACCUGCCCUUGACUCUGGGAUAACUGCUAGAAAUGGUAGCUAAUACCGGAUACGACCCUCGGAGGCAUCUCCAGGGGGUGGAAAGAAUUUCGGUCAAGGAUGGACUCGCGGCCUAUCAGCUAGUUGGUGAGGUAACGGCUCACCAAGGCGACGACGGGUAGCCGGCCUGAGAGGGUGACCGGCCACACUGGGACUGAGACACGGCCCAGACUCCUACGGGAGGCAGCAGCGGGGAACAUUGCACAAUGGGCGCAAGCCUGAUGCAGCAACGCCGCGUGAGGGAUGACGGCCUUCGGGUUGUAAACCUCUUUUAGUAGGGAAGAAGCGAAAGUGACGGUACCUGCAGAAAAAGCACCGGCUAACUACGUGCCAGCCGCCGCGGUAA